CCGGGCUCCGCCCUCCACCAGGUGACGCUGCAGCCAGGUGAGGCUGAGGCUUGGUGGCAGGAGCCAAUCGUGGAGCGGGAGCUGUUCUGGCCCGAGCUGGGCGUGGCCCAGCCCCAGGUGCUGCAGGAGCAGGUGAGGAUGUGCCGGGAGCUGCUGGAGCUUGAGCCCCAGAGCCGAGGCUGCCUGCUGACCCUGGCCCUGCUCUUGGCUGCUCUGGAUCCGCG